UGUCAAAUUGCACUACCAAACAAAUUUGAGAUGGUCUUGCCCUUUAUAUUAUCCGAAAUAUAGUUACAAAAGGUCACUGCUCAGAAGACUUUCCAGACUACUUAUAGUUAAGUCGUCCAACAUUCCAGACGACUUAACUGUAAGUCUUCUGCGCAGAAUAUAGUUACAAAAUAGGGAUCAAGUUCAAAUACAAAAUAGGGAUCAAGUUCAAAUACACACAUCAGCCUAAUCUAUCAUACAAAAUAAUCUAAAGUGGCCUGUUUAUCACCCGUCAUACGUACCCAGGAUGUCAUCCAUGUCCUUGUUUUCGAACUCAUGCGCGUCAGGAAGCUCUUGAAAUAUAUCCACCGCCAUCUUAUCC
rnacentral:lncRNA from 1 species